CCCCUCUUGGGGUCGCACCUGGAGAGUUUUCAGUACUCUACCAGUCCCAGCUACAGGAGGGAGAGUCAGCCAGAGGUCUACCCAUUCCAUUCCUAGCUUGGGCAAUGGCUAGCGAAUGGAAGGCAAUCUGCUACAAGU